rnacentral:rRNA from 1 species
UACGUAGGGUGCGAGCGUUGUCCGGAAUUAUUGGGCGUAAAGAGCUUGUAGGCGGUUUGUCGCGUCUGCUGUGAAAAUCCGGGACUCAACCCCGGACCUGCAGUGGGUACGGGCAGACUAGAGUGUGGUAGGGGAGACUGGAAUUCCUGGUGUAGCGGUGAAAUGCGCAGAUAUCAGGAGGAACACCGAUGGCGAAGGCAGGUCUCUGGGCAUUAACUGACGCUGAGGAGCGAAAGCAUGGGGAGCGAACAGG